GGGGCUGCCAGUUAUGCAGGCAAGGGGUGACAUAACAGGACUUCUGAGGCUUGGAGCGCCUUUUUGCCACAGGGGAGCCACAGAAAGAAUGUAGCUGGUCAAGGGAGCCAUGGACUCAAAAAGGUUGAAAACCUGUGCGCCAUAUGUUCCAGACCAUGGGUAGGCAAACUAAGGCCCAGGGGCUGGAUCCGGCCCAAUCGCCUUCUAAAUCUGGCCCGUGGAUGGUCUGGGAAUCAUCAUGUUUUUACAUGAGUAGAAUGUGUCCUUUUAUUUAAAAUGCAUCUCUGAGUUAUUUGUGGGGCCUGCCUGGUCUUUUUACAUGAACAGAAUGUGUCCUUUUAUUUAAAAUGCAUCUCUGGGUUAUUUGUGGGGCCUGCCUGGUCUUUUUACAUGAACAGAAUGUGUGCUUUUAUUUAAAAUGCAUCUCUGGGUCAUUUGUGGGGCCUGCCUGGUCUUUUUACAUGAACAGAAUGUGUGAUUUUAUUUAAAAUGCAUCACUGGGUUAUUUUUGGGGCAUAGGAAUUCGUUCACUCCCCCCCAAAAAAAACCUUUAGUCCGGCCCCCCGCAAGGUCUGAGGGACAGUGGACCGGCCCCCUGCUGAAAAAGUUUUCUGACCCCUCUUCCAGACAAAAUAAGUACUGGCCUGUUAAAGAACAAUUGACUGUGCAGGUGCUGUCCUCCCCUGCCCCCCCCCCCCCCCAGCUGGGUGUUAGCAAAAGGAAGAGAAGAGUUGGGAGGGUGAGGUUAAAGGAGGAGUGGUGUCACACUGGAGAAAGGGGUGUGUGAGAGCAGACAGAAGGGAAAGUGUUUUUUUGGUAAGGAGUUCUGGGAACCAGAAGAAAGAAGUGAGAGAACUCCAAUGGCUGGAGGAGGCUGCAGGAGCCGUGCCUGGCUAUUGCUUUGGACCCCAGCUUGCUGAAGCAAUGAGAGGGGCAAUGAGAGACACUCUUUGCGGUGUGUGUGUGCAAUGUUUUGCAUGCCCUCCACUGAAGAUAAAAUAUGUGUAAAACAAACCAUAUUUCUUAAAGGUCUCCACUGUGCCUCUAUUUCCCAGUGGUAAAACAAACCUGGAUGAACUCCUGGAAUCCUGCUACUGGUUAGCAGAGAUUGUGGCUGACGCACAACCUCUGCAUUAUAAUUAAUUAAUUUAAUUAAUUAAUUAAAUUUCUAUACUGCCCUUCAUCCAAGGAUUACAGGGCAGUUUACAAUAUAAAAACACAAAAAUACAUACCAUAAUAGGUGCUCUUCACUUGGGUUCUGAAUACAGCUUUGUUGGGUCAGUUUGAUAAUUAAGUAACUCUGCUCUUUGAGGCAAGUAAAUUAUUUUGGUUCUAACUGAGGGGGAGAAAUUAAUUAAUUUAUGUUUAAUCCCACAUAUAAGCAAUGUGACUCUCACCAGUGGUGACUUUUAAGCUGUGGCUUUCCAGCUGCAGCCCAGCAAACAGGUGGGGUGAAUUUCCACCUCCUUAUGGGACUAAGAAGUCUGACCUUUUCAUUUCCACUGGUGUUGGAUUCAUGAUCCCCACCUCACCCCCACUUCAGACAAAAUGCAGGCCAUUUUAAAAGUCAGGAAAAAUUGAAGAUCACUUUGCAGAAUAGCUCCCCCAGGGGGAGGAAAUCAGCAGGACAGCAGCCCACAUUGAAACGCAGCCUGAUUUAAUCACAGCACAAUUUGUAUUUUAUAUGGGCAAUCUAACAGCUUUUGGGGAGAUAGCUGGGGAACAGGUCUGCAGGAAUGUUUUGGGUAUCUGGCAGGGAAAAUGCCAGGAACUGUUGGUGAUAAAUGAGAGAAUAUUGUGUUCUGCUGUUAAGGCCUGAAAUGUUAAUUUAGGCCAGCUUUCAGCAAUCUGGUGCUCUCCAGACAUUUUGGACUACAGUUCAGGAUGAUACCGAAAUCAGGUGUGGCAGCACCUAUCCUUUACAUGUAGGGAUUGUGGGAUGUACUAUUGCUAGAGCAGUCAAGUACAACAUUUUCCUGUUGCCUAGAAGGAACACACAGGGGAAUGGAGCCAGGCAGGGAGGACUUCCUGUCAUACCUGCUCUAGUCUAGAGCAUCCUCUCUCUGUGCGUGACCCUAGCUGACUAGAUAAAAGCGCUGGCCACACAACCAUCUCUCUCUUGGACUCUCUCUCUCUUACUCUCACUCUUGGACUCUCCUGACUCUUAGUGAGUGCAUGGCUCAACAUUCACGUAGGAUGGAGCCCAAAAUAAACCCUGCCUUCAGAUUACUGCUGUGAACUGAAUGUGAGAAAAACUUUAUACUUCCUUUUAAAGAAGACUGUGUUGUGUUGUUAUUACUUUAAGAGGGAAAUAAAAGGGGAAACUUACCAGAAACAAUCCAGACUGGACAAGGCAGACUGGAUUGCUUAAUUAAAGGAUUCUAACAAAUCACCAACUUGCUUCCAGUAAGUUGCAAAGGGAAUGUGCUCUGCUCUUUACUCACUAGCAUGAGUGAGGAGGGAUAAUGUCAAAACAAAAUAUCCUCUCCUAUCUUCCUUAACAUUCCCACAGGGAUGAGCAAACUGGUCAAUUUCUAUUUCUCUCGGUUUUCCAUUUUGACCUACCUGUAAUCUAUACCUUUGUCCUGAAGGAGCAUAUUAGCCCCUUUUAGCAUAAUAGUGUUUGAGAUCAGGAGUGGGAUCACAUUUGUGGUCCUUGGCUUCAUCCUCCAAGCAUUCUUCCAAAAGAUCUGAACAAAGACCACCAGUAUACUGCUGUAGAUGCUGACAGGCGCACACACACACACACACACACACACACACACACACACAAUCUACUUUGCAUGCAGAAGGUCCCAGGUCCCAGCAGGGCUGGGAGAGACUUCCUGCCUAACCCUGAAGAGCCACUGUUGGUCAAUGUAUACUGAGCAGUCUGAUUUGGUAUAAGGCAGCUUCCUAUGUUCUUAUCAUCUUGGAGAACAGGAUUUAGUGUGCAUCAGUUUAAUUCAGAACUGACAAAGUGCAAUCCUAUGUAGGCUUGCAUUGGAGGAAACCCCAUGUGGUUCAAAGCUGCUGACUCCCUAUUUUCUGUGUAUUUAGGAUUGCAGCUUUGGAUGAAGGUGAAGAGGUCAGGAGCAAGGCCAUCAAGUGCAAUCCUGAUUCCACCCCCCUCUGUUUGUUCACCAGAUGCCUGAAAAGAGCUGCUGUUGUGUUCUUUUGCCAUUUGAAAGUGCCUUGGAAGACAGCCCUGAUAAGUGGCAAUUGCAGUUCCACCCCAAGUAAAUAUAGAACCCAUUAAGAUGCUUAAAACUAAAAUAAAACAAAAAAUAAAAC